CCUCUGGAUAUGUGCAGGCUGUAAGAGGCUUCUGGCUGGGCUUAUGUUCCUCUGUUUCACUGUUGCUUAUUUCUCUUGUCUCAGUAGAGUGACACCAUAUCUGGAUAAUCACAAAAUGAAGAAUAACAAUUAAUGCCAAAUGGUGGUUGAAUCAGCGACAUUACAGUUACUAGUCCUGAACUUUAACCACUAUGCCACACCACCUAAAAUAACUUAUGUAUUAUGUUUGGGUAUGCAUGCUAUAGAGGCAAACUGAUGACAUUUAAACUGGUAUCUCGCAAAUCACAUGUGCUCCCAAGUUGCAAAAUAAAAAAAUAAAAAUCUUGCAAGUCUCACCAUAUCAAACAGAGCCAUGCCAAAGUUGAUGGCUAUAGCUGUGACAGUGAGAAGGUUCCGCAUACUGUUGUUUUCAUGGAUCCAGCAGCAGAACUGCUGAAGGACACUGGGAAAUUGUUUAAACUCUUCAGCCAAGACUAUCAUAAGCAAUAAGAGAUAUCCCAGCAAGAAUAGACAGAACUCCAGUGCUGUCCAGUAAUAAAACCUGUAGGUGCUGAACAUCGAUUGAGUAAACUCUACCUGGGUACAGGAAUGAGGGCUUGGACAGCCAUGUGAAGAAGAAACAUGAUGAAGGAACAUACUAGAUUGGUCUUAAACAUCUCGUCCCUUACCUGAGAGAACUGAAUCAUGAAGCAAAAUAUAAAACAGGUCAUAUCCUGCCCCUUAUACCUUCUCCUCAAUGUGUGUAUCCUUAAACACCAAUGUCGCUGAAGUUAUAUGCUCCUGACGCAUGCGCUCACUGCUGCGAAGAUCUAUAGCAUGCUCUAUCCGUUUGUUGAUCUCCUUGGAUGUAGAUCUGCACACUGAGGAUGUAGGAAGUUGUGUGCAAGACCCAUGGGAGAAGGAGGCCAAUAUCUGUAAAGUUAAAGUUCAGCAGAGAAGUAGACCCAUUAUACAAAAAUUGGGCGGUGGCUUUGCUGAGGUUUUAAAUGAUCUGCUUCCCUUCCAUCUAGAUCCUCCUCCUUGUGGCAGAUAAGGAAAGUGUCAAUCUUGUGUUUUCGUAAGAACUCAUUGCGUUCAUAUCCACGCCCGUUC